GUCUCAGUUCAGAUUGCAGGCUGCAACUCGCCUGCAUGAAGUCGGAAUUGCUAGUAAUCGCAGAUCAGCAUGCUGCGGUGAAUACGUUCCCGGGCCUUGUACACACCGCCGUCACACCAUGGGAGUCGGUAACACCCGAAGUCGGUAGCCUAACCGUAAGGAGGGCGCCGCCGAAGGUGGGAUUGAUGACUGGGGUGAAGUCGUAACAAGGUAUC
rnacentral:rRNA from 1 species